rnacentral:rRNA from 1 species
UGGAGGCAGCAGUGGGGAAUUUUGCUCAAUGGGCGAAAGCCUGAAGCAGCAACGCCGCGUGAGGGAUGAAGGCCUUCGGGUUGUAAACCUCUUUUCCCAGGGACGAUGAUGACGGUACCUGGGGAAUAAGCCACGGCUAACUACGUGCCAGCAGCCGCGGUAAUACGUAGGUGGCAAGCGUUGUCCGGAUUUACUGGGCGUAAAGAGCGCGCAGGCGGCCGAGUCAGUCGAAUGUGAAAGCCCCCGGCUCAACUGGGGAGGGUCAUUCGAUACUGCUCGGCUUGAAGAUAGGAGAGGGAAGCGGAAUUUCAGGUGUAGCGGUGAAAUGCGUAGAUAUCUGAAGGAACACCAGUGGCGAAGGCGGCUUUCUGGCCUAUUCUUGACGCUGAGGCGCGAAAGCUAGGGGAGCAAACGGGAUUAGAUACCCCGGUAGUCCG